AAGCUUCGGCAGAUUUAGCUGGUUUCUAGUGGCGGACGGGUGAGUAACGCGUGGGUAACCUGCCUUGUACAGGGGGAUAACAGUCAGAAAUGACUGCUGAUACCGCAUAAGCGCACAGGACCGCAUGGUCCAGUGUGAAAAACUCCGGUGGUAUGAGAUGGACCCGCGUUGGAUUAGCUAGUUGGCAGGGUAACGGCCUACCAAGGCGACGAUCCAUAGCCGGCCUGAGAGGGUGGACGGCCACAUUGGGACUGAGACACGGCCCAGACUCC
rnacentral:rRNA from 1 species